GUCUAACAGUCUCCAAGGUUAAUCUUUUCUCUUCUUUACAGGCACCCAGCUUGCUGCCGAAGGCCUUUGAUCAUGGCGGGAGUCUGAACUGAAGUGAACUGUGCUGGAGGUCGCGCCGUGAGGCUCUGAGGCCAUCAGGGGUCACAGACGUUGCCCGGCUGCCCCUCUGGUUUCGCUUGCUCUGGGGGAAGCCAGCUGACCUGCUGUGAGGACAUUCAAGUAGCUGGAGGAUCACCCCACUUGCCCGCUGGGAGUGACUACAGCCUCUGCUGUCCCCUGACUGACCCUCCUGGGACCCUGAGCCGGAAAAACCCAGCCAGAAACCACUGGAAAUAAGAAGAAAGAGACUGCUGACCUACCUGUUUGCCUGGACAUCUAGAAAAUAACUUUAAAUAUUUAUAUGUGAUCUGCAGGAGAUUACACAUUUGCCACGGAGAACUUCAACUAUCAGGUCUCAGCCGCCCACGACUGCAUGGCCAGAGCAGGCUGACGUCAUCACCUCUGUCUUAAAGAUGAGGAAACAGAGGCCUAGGAAUUGGCGGGGCUUCCCUGGCUCACAUGACCUUGUAUGUAAACAGGCCUGGCCCCUGCUGGUCACAGUGCCAUCAGGAGAUGUGCUCAGAACUGCUUCUCCAGGAGCUGUGACAGGUUUUGCGGACUCAGGCACAGCAGAGCAGCAUUUGACAGGGCUGACCAGGUGUACGGAUGCAG